rnacentral:misc_RNA from 1 species
GGACUGAGAGUCAAUUGCAUUUUUUUCUUUUUUUUGAAAUAAGUCAAUCGUACAUUUUAAUAAUCUUACAAGAACUAAGCCCCCAAAGAAUCAAGUGAUUGUCAUUCUUCAAUCCAAUUAUCUCUCCCGUGUAGCAGCCUAACCUCGCAAGUGCAAGCUUAUCAUCCACGCAAAAGGAUGUCAAAAAUCCCCGUGACUCUCAGUCCUUUUUAACGCUUAGCUCAGAAUUCAUGUCGGGCACAGCCAUGUCAAAAACUUCCUGGGCAUGGCUUAUUACGGUAAGCA